CACCCACCGUGGCUGGCGCCGUAGGCGCCCGUGACCGGAAUUGGAACAGGGGCCGGUACAGGCGCAUGGUGGGGGAGCAGGGGGCCGGCAGUCGGGGGACUGUCCGGCCCUGUUUU
rnacentral:antisense_RNA from 19 species